UUACUUAAUGGAUGGAACUGUAUUCCUCAGAAAAGCUGCUCUGAAGGCUGUUUACUUAAUAAGUGAGUUGCCUGACUGAGUCAGAGCUGAGAGAGAAAAGGAGAGAGAAAACACCAGCCAGCUGAAAAGCCAGGAGAAAGCAGCAGAGAAAGAUGGUUUUGUAACCCAUAUCUCCCUUCAGGCUGUUCAUGCAAUAUUGUUUAUUUCACAUCUGCAAAACUGGGCCUCCCUUUUUUGGAAUGACAUUUCUCCUGAUUUCAAGGAGAUAAGAAGACAAAAGCACCCUGAUCCUAAACAAAAGAAAAUCGGAAGUAAACUUGGAUGGAAUAGAAUGUAUUCUAUUUGGACUUGGAUUGAAAUAGGGGCUUCUGUGAGAACAAGAAGGAUUUACUGCUGUUGCCCCACCUAGCACGGACACAGGGCUGAUUCAACCACACAUCUAAUGGCACUGCAGCUCACCAAAAGAAACAGAUCUCAUCUCCCAAACUCAGAAAUCUUUAUUUAUCAGAAGUAAUCUAUGCUCCAAGAGACUUUUUAAAUGCCAUGCAACUCCUUUUUUCAUUAUAAAGAAGUUCUUAUUGACCACAAGUUCAGCUUCACAAUGGACAGCACACA